AAAUAACAGGCACCUUUCAAGGGGCUAGGGCACAGCAGCCUAGAAAUCUGAGCAAGCUGCUUUCAAAUUUGAUCCCAGCAACCUGGAAUGACCAAGGCUUCCAGAGGAGGGCAUUAUCAAGAGGACAGAAUGCUCAUGCUAGGGCAGCUCAAGAAAAGGGUGGCUGGAAGAGAUCACAUGGGGAGGAGGCCAAACACACCACGCCCCAACUUGUACAAACCAUCCAGGCAAUCUGUGCCCAACACUGUGCCAAAGAGGCAAAGAAUGGAAAAGAAACUGGAAAUGCAUGAACUAAAUAGUUCAGUGGGAGAUGUGCCUGUGGUGUGUGGAAGUGCUCAGCAAGGAGGCUGGGCUAAACAUCAGACCCAUCCCACUCUGCUGAGCUCCAGCACACGGGACUGAGGGGGGCAGGCAGCACCCCAGGGCUCUGCAGGCUCUGCUCAAAGCUGCCAGCAUGGAAAGGAACUGAGCACACUACAAGGAACUUGUACAUCCGAGCAAAAACAGAAAACGCAUGGAAAAAAAUAAUCCUGAGCAGUGGGAUGUGAGGAAAUGUAUGGUUGACAGGUUUUCUAGUCCCUCUUCCAAGGAUCAAAAUUACUUCAGAGACUGCCUACAAAGGGAAGUUCCUUAAAAGGGGAAGCCAGUGGCUAGACCGAGAAGAAAAGGAGAAAAGCAGAGAUUAUAAAGUAAACAAAAUAGAAACUCCAGUACAUAAUCUGUCUUUGGUUGUAACUCACUUCUUUCCUGAGAAAUAAACUUCAAAUUAUCAAACAUGAAUAAUGAAAUUGAAGUCACAAAAGAGUGACUGAAUUCAGAACUGGCCUUCAAGGUUAGAUUACAUCCCUUUGUCUUAAACAAACAAACCAAAAAAGCAAUAAAACUACCAUUAGCUUUCUAAAAAAUAUUUUUUAAACUACAAAUAAUUUUAUUUUUCUUUACAAAAAGAAAUGCAUUUGCAGUAAGAGUUUUGAACAUAAGAAACAGCAAACACUUUGGCACAGAUUUUUAGCACUUAUGUCUGACUGUAAAAGCUAAGGUACAGUAUUUUUAAAAGCAGAAUGUAUUUCUUAAGUCACAAAGUCUUCAUUGGAUUUGCAGAUGGGGACCUCUAUUGGUAUAAAAUAAUUACUAAAAAAAUGACACCUGGAAACAGACCCAUUGGCUCCCACAAAAAUCACAAUGGCCAAAUUCUCAUUUUCAUUACACUAACAUUAACAAAUACCCACUUCAAUUAAAAUUGCAGGAAUGAGCCCAAUCAAAUGCAAUUAAUAUAAGAAUUUGGUCCAGUUGUGAAAGAAAUCAAGUAUUCUUGGGGAAAAAAGCUACAAAGAAGAACUAAUAUACUUUGAAGUGAACCUUCUCAUGCUCAUGCCUGGGGCCCUGGUGUGCCUGUGCCUUAUGUGUAUUUUUACUCCAGCCUCCAUGUAACCAGGCAGUGUUCUGGCUUUGGACUGACAUCUCUCCGUGCUGGGCAGGAUUUGCAAUCCUUCAUGACUAUCUAUUUGUCACUGCAGGGAUGCACCAAACACCCUUGAAAAAUAUGGAAGAGUUAGGAACAACCCUGACAAGCAGAGCAAGCAGAAGCAGCACAGUGUGGUGGCAGCUGCAGCAGCACGGGGCUGGCAGGGGAUGGAGCACAUGGCUGGCACUUAGCAAACAGCAGAGACAACCACUCCAGACCACGGAUGGGGGAUCUCUCCGUGGGGUUCCACCACAAGAAAUGACAAGAAGAACUGCAUCUAUGACUUUCUCUAAUGUUCAUAACUCAAAACCCACGACCUUGAUCACUUUAGCAGAUGGUUUUGCUCUGCUGUAGUUGCAAUUAGACAGAGUGUGCCAAAGUGAAGAGCAAAUUACCCAUGCUAUCUAUCCCAGUUAAAAAAAUCUGCAGUCUUCCAGUAUCUAGUGGGACAAUAUCCAAAAUUUUUCAGCCCCAGCCCAUGCUGGAUUGCCAUUAUAUUUUAUGUCAAUCAGUUCUUCAGAGAGUCCAAGACCCUUGGCAUAUGUUCUUAGUUAACAAAAUGGAAAAUUAAACUUUGUAGCAACCCCCUGCCACUCCCAAAAUAAAAGAAAAAUUCUAUUUACAUCAAUGAGCAGGAAGUCUGAUCUUCCAGUGCCAGCCAAAAAGCCUGCAAUAUAAGGACAUUUGGCUGAAUAAAGGAAUUUAAAGUAAGCAAACUAGCCUAAACUCACAAUCCUGCAUUUCAGGUGCUGAGGAAUAUUCAUAAGGAAUAUGAAUUUUUAAAUAACCUCUGAUAUUGACAAGCACAAGUUUAUUACUUUUACAGUGCUUUAAUGCCUGUUCAAAAAUGAGCAGACUUUUUGAACACAUUAUCCUCAUGGAAGAAGUGCUCCUGAAUUUCUUCAACACACAGAAAAUACCACAAUUACAAGCCCAGUAUUUGCACAAACAAGUAAAAAAAUUGUAUUGCAAUGAAGCAGGAAGAGGUACCUAAAGACUGUGGCAUUCUCAGAAAUUAAUGACUGUGUAUAAGACCUCAUGAAGCCUGAGGGACUGAACAAGACAAUGUCUGAAUAUGAAACCUGGUCUUAGGUUCCCAGCUUCCAGAACAAGCUUUUCUCUGGGCUAUACUGAAAAGGAAACAUGAGCAGCAUCUGCUCCUUGGUUCUCCAGCACUGAUGGAUUUGGAAUAGCAACGUACAGUAGUUUCUACAAAUUAAAUGCAUGAAAAUUGCAAUGAGUAGACUGAAAAAAAUGAUAUUUGAGAGUAGAUCUGAAUAUGAAGAAGAUAUGUAGAUAAACUACCUCGCUGGCAAACUCAUGUCAGGUUUUUUACAGUCCAGAUGGGAUAGGGCAAACCAAAAGGGGGCAUUUAUGUCAGAGCCUGUACAACACGAACAAGGAUGCUGAUAUGGUUUCUUUUUUAUAUAGAGCUGGGUAAAGAGAUCAGAGAACACUGGAACGUUAGCCAAAACAAGUUAUCCAGCUGCACUGUGUUUCAUCACAUAUCAAUUUUUACUGAAAGAAACCCAUACAAAUUUAAUCAGUUCUUCAUAUGGUAAUAUUUAACAUUUUUCCCCAAGUUGUUUGAUAUUAUUGUUUUAAAAGUUCCUUUUCCCCUGUCCUCGAAACGUGAUGUGUGAUAGUGGUGAACACAGGAAAAACAUCUAAAACAUCUAUCCCUGGCAAGACUGAAAGCCUCAUUUGCAGUAGACUCAGUAAUAAAUGCACUGGCGUCUGUGUCAA